GUGCUUGCUUCGGCAGCACAUAUACUAAAAUUGUAAUGAUACCGAGAA
rnacentral:snRNA from 1 species